CUCUACAGGAAUACAGCUGAGCACAGCAGUGAGCGCAGAAGAAGCGUUAACCAAAUCAUCUAUAUCGUGAGAUCUAAAUAUUGCCUCUUCCAGCGCUUGUAAACUUUCCUUCCAAGCUGGCUGCGCUUCUCUCAAUUGCAGUAGUGCCAUCCGAGAGCAAUUCUAUUAGAUGCAGUGCUCCAAUAAUCAGUGCAACUGUAAUCAAUAGCUGUCCAGUAUUCAUCAUAUUCAUCACAUUCAUUUCCUUCCACAUCCGUUGCAGUUUCACCACCUCAUUGCCCUUUACCAGUCUUACAUGUGAUGGCUGCAGGUGGUGCCCUGCAAACCCUGCAAGGGAGCAGCCAGGCGCUCUGCUCCACGUGCCGAUGUCACGGCCGGGCUCUCCUGCAGCUUCAGCCCAGCGGGGCUGUCACCAGCUCCAUCAAUUAAACCCCACACCGCUCCGUCGUUCUGCUGAGUGCUCGGAGAGCCUUGUUCUCACUGGGGUGUAACAAGAGUAAUUAUAAUAAUGAUUUCCCCAUUCCUUGCCGGCGCGUUUUCUCUUAGCAACAGGCUCGAGCACCGCAAGAAACGUGAUCAAAGUUGAAAGAAAAUUCUCUUUGAUGCAAAGGAGUUUUUGUUGCUGUUUUGGUUAGGGAGGGCAAGCGGGGGAGCCUGUCAGUGCAGCCAACUAAUGACAAACACGGGAUAAAUCUCCGUGGGGAUUAGCGCGGUCUGAAUGCAAGUCAAGUGCUCCGAUUCUGUAAUUUCAACCAAGUAGCACAGCAACCUACAGGCUUUUUAGUGUUUAGGUUGCCACAGAGAAGCUUUGCUGUCAUCCCUGAAACACUUUCUCGGUAAGAAAUUUCCUGGAACACCGAGGUCCUGUUUCUUCUGGGAGGUUAAGUCACUGCAUUAUCUCCUCGGGUGAACGUUCAUUAUGCUCCUCUAGCACGAGCAUUCUUCUGUACCGCAGGCUGCCUGGCUCUCCCAUAGGCAGUAACAGCACCAAGCGGUGUUCGGUGCUGCUAAUCUUGCUCACCUGCCAAUUAGCUGUAAACCGUAAGAAGUAUUGUACCCAAAAAGGAAAAAAAAGGAAAAAAGCUAAAAGCUGGAUCAGUUUCAAGUGUAAUUACUUCAAAAGAAUUCAAUAUACUAUUGCCUCAAACAAAACCAAAAAAGUCUGAACCCUUAAUCCUCUUUGAAGAUGCUUCUUACUGAUAUAUCCCAUCACAUAGUUAUAACACCGGUGACAGUGCUUAGAGAAAUCAUAUCCUCUGUUCAGCUAAGCCAGGAAAUGCAUUUGAUUCUCUUGCUGUAAUUUUCUGCAGCAGCUCAGUAAAUGCGAGCUCUUCACUCUGUGCAAACUGUCCCAUCCAUGCCACUUGGUUAUAUGCUGUGCAAUAAAUCUACCAGUUGUAAAGUAAUUUAGAGUGCUUGUGUCUACAUUAUAAAACAUCUGUUUUGCACGUACGUAUUCGCUUGUCGUUCGAGAAAUGUGU